rnacentral:rRNA from 1 species
UACGGUAGGGGGCAAGCGUUGUCCGGAAUCAUUGGGCGUAAAGAGCGCGUAGGCGGCCCUGUAAGUCCGCUGUGAAAGUCAAGGGCUCAACCCUUGGAUGCCGGUGGAUACUGCAGGGCUAGAGUCCGGAAGAGGCGAGUGGAAUUCCUGGUGUAGCGGUGAAAUGCAUAGAUAUCAAGAGGAACACCUGAGGUGAAGACGGGUUGCUGGGCUGACACUGACGCUGAGGCGCGAAAGCUAGGGGAGCAAACAGG